rnacentral:rRNA from 1 species
UAGCGAAGGGGGCUAGCGUUGCUCGGAAUCACUGGGCGUAAAGCGCACGUAGGCGGGUCCUUAAGUCGGGGGUGAAAUCCCGGAGCUCAACUCCGGAACUGCCUUCGAUACUGGGGACCUCGAGUCCGGGAGAGGUGAGUGGAACUGCGAGUGUAGAGGUGAAAUUCGUAGAUAUUCGCAAGAACACCAGUGGCGAAGGCGGCUCACUGGCCCGGUACUGACGCUGAGGCACGGAAAGCGUGGGGAGCAAACAGG